UGCAAAGAUGCCAAGCAGGGAACACACUUGAGACUUCCGGAGCACUAGGAAGCACUGUGGCUGUGGCAGAGUGAACAAUGGAGGAGGGGGAGCUAGAGGGGAGUGAAGUGCUGGGGCCAGAGCUUGCAGGGCUUUUUAGGCCAUAGUAAAGCCUUUGGCUUUUACUCUGAGACAGAUGAGACAGGACACCACAGAGUGAUGUGAAGAGACUUAUGUCCUGACAGGUGACUGCAGCCCCUGUGUUAAAAAUAGACUGAGACAGCGGGGCCAGGGCAGAUGUGGGAGACUAAAGGCUGCCACAAUAAUCCAGGCUAGAGAUGUUGGUGGCUAGGACUGGAGAGGCAGCAGUGGAGGUGACAAGAAGGGUCAGAUUUGGGGUGUGUAGAAGCUGCUGCUGGCUGUACUGAGGACGGAGUGAACAUGGAGUGUGAGGGAGAGAAACAUCAAGGAAACUCCAGGGUUCUGGCUUGAGCAGAUGAAGGAAAGAGAGCUGCCCUCUGCCGAGACCGCUGCAGUGAGGCUGAACUCAGGGAGUGAUGGUCAAGGAUCCUGCCUGCUGCCUGCACCAACGGAGCACUUGAUAAUGGUUGUCAUUUUGUCAUCAUUAUUGUAAUGUCCUGUUACUCCAUCACAUACACAGGGGAGAGUCCCUCAGCAGCGCCCAGCAGGGGAAACCAGGAGAGAGAUGCAAGUGGGGACUGUCCAACAUGAAGAGGAAAAUUAUAAGAAACACUUCCUGGAGAACCCGGAAAAUAGAUCCAGAUCAGAAGACCAGAACUGCGCUUCCUGGAAG
rnacentral:lncRNA from 10 species